UUGGGAACUGACCUGUUUGGGGCAAUUAAUUUAUAUGGCUGAGCAAGCCUUUUAAGCAACUGGCUGACUUUGCUUAACCAAUGUUUUAGAUAUAAUUGAAAGUCAAAUCAGCAUGUUUACACUGAAUUCUAUUGCGUUACCUGAGAAGAGAAGCAAACAGCACGAGAAAAUUGAUCUUUCCAUUCUAGGUGCAGCCUGCAUAUUCAGGCUUCCAUUGAUGGGAUUGGAGUCAUCAGCUGACAUGUACAAGUGGAUUUGCUGCAGGCGAGACCAGCCUUUGUUUACCUGGACUGGACAUUAAGUUAAUCAUGAGCCUAUUUGCAUUUGAUGUCUACACAUUCCUGGACUCACACCCCACACAAGGAUGGACCUUUAAAUGGACUUGGACUUUGAAUUUACCAACCACAGCUGUUCCUUUUUUCUGCUCCAGGGGAACUUUCUCCAGCCAGUGACAUCAAGAGGAUCCCCCAGUCAACAAAAGCCCAGAUUGAAACCUGUCUGUCUUUUCCACCAAUCAGGGGGAUGACAUGCAUAUUUUGAAUGGCUGUCAAAGUGGAUAAAAUGUUCUGUAUUUCUCUGUGAGCCUUAUGUUUAUCCUUUUUUCAGUACUGAGAUAUUUUCUGGCCAGAUUGAAUAAACGUCUGUUUGUUGCCUUCAAACU
rnacentral:lncRNA from 11 species